ensembl:snRNA U7 U7 small nuclear RNA
GAAAAUUUGUUCUUUUAGUAUUUGUCCAGUAGGCUUMCUCAGAGAGGAAGCCCCA